rfam:Triticum aestivum genome assembly, contig: Triticum_aestivum_CS42_TGACv1_scaffold_329293_4BS
UAGUUGCUGUGAUGCAUCUGCAAGGACGGUGUCCGAGUAAAGGUUGCUCUUGAAAAGGUGCUCCUUCCCUGAUUAUGCAUCCAAAACUAAUCAUAUAUCCUGAGGAAAUG